UACAGAGGUCCCAAGCGUUUGUUCGGAUUCACUGGGCGUAAAGGGUGCGUAGGUGGUUGGGUAAGUCUGAUGUGAAAUCUCCGGGCUCAACCCGGAAAUGGCAUUGGAUACUAUUCGGCUAGAGGUUUGGAGGGGGGACUGGAAUUCUCGGUGUAGCAGUGAAAUGCGUAGAUAUCGAGAGGAACACCAGUGGCGAAGGCGAGUCCCUGGACAACACCUGACACUGAGGCACGAAAGCUAGGGGAGCAAACAGG
rnacentral:rRNA from 1 species